AGAUUGAACGCUGGCGGCAUGCUUUACACAUGCAAGUCGAACGGUAACGCGGGGGCAACCCUGGCGACGAGUGGCGAACGGGUGAGUAAUACAUCGGAACGUGCCCAGUAGUGGGGGAUAGCUCGGCGAAAGCCGGAUUAAUACCGCAUACGACCUACGGGAGAAAGCGGGGGAUCGCAAGACCUCGCGCUAUUGGAGCGGCCGAUGGCAGAUUAGCUUGUUGGUGGGGUAAAAAGCUUACCAAGGCGACGAUCUGUAGCUGGUCUGAGAGGACGACCAGCCACACUGGGACUGAGACACGGCCCAGACUCCUACGGGAGGCAGCAGUGGGGAAUUUGGACAAUGGGCGCAAGCCUGAUCCAGCAAUGCCGCGUGUGUGAUGAAGGCCUUGGGUGUAAAGCACUUUGGUAGGAACGAACGGUCCGGCUAAUACCCUGGACUACUGACGUACCGCAGAAUAAGCACGGCUAACUACGU
rnacentral:rRNA from 1 species